rnacentral:lncRNA from 1 species
AUGGAGAGAUGGAGAGGUUAUUACCCAAAAACACACAGCCAAUAAAUGGUGAAAGCAAGAUUUAAAUGUGGGUCCAGGGAGUUCCCCUUGUGACUCAGUGGGUUACAAACAUGAUUGGUAUCUAUGAUGAUGCAGGUUCCAUCCCUGGCCUCUCUCGGGUUAAAGAUCCCGCAAGCUGUGGUGUAGGUGGCAGACACAGCUUGGAUCCCAUGUUGCUGUGGCUGUGGUGCAGGCUGGCAGUGCCAGCUCUAAUUGAACCCCUAGCCUGGGAACUUCCAUAGCUACAGGUCCACCCUAAAUAGCCAGAAAAAAAAAAAGUGGGUCCAGAGUUCCUUCUUCUUUUAUUACAACCUGUUUGUUUUGUUUUGUUUUCGUUUUUUGUGGGGUUUUUUUUGUUUGUUGUUUUGUUUUGUUUUUUUAAGCACAGGGAGAACAUAGUAUCCAAGGAGGAAAACAAAUUUUCAACAAAAAUACCCCAAAGAGUUCAUGUUGUCCUAACAGCAAAUCUCCUCCUAAAUUUUGGGAAAUAUACUUAUAUUUUCCCAUUUGUUUCUUUGGUAAGAGGACUGUCUCUUUCCCCCAAAGCCCUAUAAACCAGCGCUGUCCAAUAGGAUUUUCUGUGAAGAUGGAAACAGCCUAUAAUCUUGCUGCCUAAUAUGGUAGCUAUUGGCCUCAUGUUGCUGUUGAAUAAGUGUAAUAUGCACUCAGGAUUUCAGAGUCUUUGUAGAAUAGAGGAAGGUAAAAUAACUCACUGACACUUUAAAAAAAUUAUUGCAUGGUAAAAUGAUAAUAUAUUUGGCUAAAUUUAACAUAUUUUAAAAUUAAUUUUACCUUUUUUCUUUUUUUUUUCACUUGUUGAACGUGGCUACUAGAAAACUUAGAAUUGCGUAUGUUGGCUGCAUGAUAUUUCUAGUGGCAUCAUAUGAUCUAGGUCGUUUGUCUAUGAAUAUGUUUAUAUAUUUACAAUUAUGUAUGUGUAUGUAUGUAUAUCUGUGUGUGUAUGUAUGUAUAUCUACCAUCUAUCUAUUGAUGGUCAUUUUAUUUUUAAUAGAAACAGUAUCACGUAGUAUACAAUGCUUUACAAUUUGUUAUCAUUUCAGAGUAAUUAGGGUUUUUUUUCCCCUCAUGUUGGUACAUAUAAAUCAACAUCAUUCUCUUAAUUACUAUAUAGCAGUGCUUAAACUGAUUUAUGAGUUGCUCAUCCAUUGAUACACAGUACAUGCUUGGAUGGAUAUAAAGUAUCAGAAGAGAAGCAGGUGCAAUUCUGGAGAAUACAGCCUUUUAAGAGGUGGACAGAGGUUAGCCCUGCAGACUGGUUUGAGAGAUAGGACCUACCCAGGACAGAGGUAUUGACAGAAACCGAGAGAUUGAAGUUCCAAGAAGGGUCAAUGGGAAUUGAUACGAAGAAUUCAAAAAAGUGAGCUUCUAAAGACUAGCGUCUGGAUGUAGCAACUAAAGAGGUGAUGGCUCACUGAGGAAGUGAGCAGAAGGAUGUCUGGAUUCCGGUGGGUUGAGGAUCAAAUAGGAAAUGCAGCAAUAGAGGAUAUGGAUGCAGGCUUGCUUCUCUUUUUGAAUCCUGUAGAAUUUUUUUUUGUUUUUCUCAUGACAGAAGUAUUUAUGCCCUGGCAAUUUUAUUCCUAUAGGGUGAAUUUUCAGAAGUGGAUCAUUGGGUUUGUGUAUUUUUAAAAAUUUUACAGACAUUUCUAAUUUAGGUUCCCAAAAGGUUGUAACAAUUCAACCAGAACAUGUGACAGUGAGAAUUCCCCCCAAUGUUUCCCAGUUCUGUGUUUUCUCUUUUCUUUCAAUUCUACUAAUCUAAUAGGCAGAAAAUGAUAUCUCUUCUUUAAAUUUAUUCUGUUUUCUUGAUUACAAAUGAGUUUGAUCAUUUUUACAUGGAUUUUUAAAUUACUUCUACUGAGAAUUCUCUAUUCUCUGUUUAUUUUUGUACUGUUGGGUUUUUUCUUUUUAUAAUUAAAAUAUCUUUUUGUACAUUACGGAGAUUAAUCCCAUUUCUACAAUAUAUGCUGUGCAAAUUUCUCCUGAGACCAUCACGGGUGUUUGACUUUUUUUUUAAUUGAACUGUAGUUUAUUUACAAUAUUAUAUUAGUUUCAGGUGUACAUCAUAGUGAUAUAGAAUCUUUGUAUAACCUUAUGUUGUUGACGAUCCUUCAGAAAAUGAAACUUAGAGAUUCGCUGGUGGCCUAGGUUAAGGAUCCAGGUGUUGUCACUACUGUGGCUCAGGUCACUGCUCUGGCAUGGGUUCCAUGGGAACUUCCACAUGUGGCAGGAGUUCCCAUCGUGGCGCAGUGGUUAACGAAUCCGACUAGGAACAAUGAGGUUGCGGGUUCGGUCCCUGCCCUUGCUCAGGGGGUUAAGGAUCCGGCAUUACCAUGAGCUGUGGUGUAGGUUGCAGACGCAGCUCGGAUCUGGCAUUGCUGUGUCUCUGGCGUAGGCCGGCAGCUACAGCUCCGAUUCGACGCCUAGCCUGGGAAUCUCCAUAUGCCACGGGAGCGGCCCAAGAAACG